UUUCCGUAGGUGAACCUGCGGAGGGAUCAUUAUUGUGUAACAGAGCUGCGAUGGCUGUGUCUGACCCGAUAUGUCUUGCACACCCGAAUGGCCUCACACAGAUUCAUCUCCCCCCUCUGUGCACCACCUCGUGGGUCCCGAUUUGGCUUGUGCGCAGGCGUGCUUAGGUUUUCACACAUACUAUGUAUGCAGUGUAGGAUGUAUUUUUUGUUUUUGAGAGCACGGAAUCAAUACAACUUUCAACAACGGAUAUCGUGGCUCUCGCAUCCAGGAAGCACA
rnacentral:misc_RNA from 1 species